UUGACCCCUUAUCGGGGUUGCGGACAGUGCCUGGUGGGUAGUUUGACUGGGGCGGUCUCCUCCCAAAGAGUAACGGAGGAGCACGAAGGUGGGCUAAUCACGGUUGGACAUCGUGAGGUUAGUGCAAUGGCAUAAGCCCGCUUGACUGCGAGAAUGACAAUUCGAGCAGGUGCGAAAGCAGGUCAUAGUGAUCCGGUGGUUCUGAAUGGAAGGGCCAUCGCUCAACGGAUAAAAGGUACUCCGGGGAUAACAGGCUGAUACCGCCCAAGAGUUCAUAUCGACGGCGGUGUUUGGCACCUCGAUGUCG
rnacentral:rRNA from 1 species